AGUUUGAUCAUGGCUCAGAUUGAACGCUGGCGGGAUGCUUUACACAUGCAAGUCCAGACGACAGCACGGACUUCGGUCUGGUGGCGAGUGGCGAACGGGUGGGUAAUGUAUCGGAACGCGCCUAGUAGCGGGGAUGUACGCGAAAGCGUAGCUAAUACCGCAUACGCCCUUCGGGGGAAAGCGGGGGACCUUCGGGCCUCGCAUAUUAGAGCGCUGGCCGAUAUAGGGUUAGCUAGUUGGUGGGGGUAACGGCUCGCAAGGCGACGAUCCGUAGCUGGUUUGAAGAGGACGACCAGCCACACUGGGACUGAGACACGGCCCAGACUCCUACGGGAGGCAGCAGUGGGGAAUUUUGGACAAUGGGGAAACCCUGAUCCAGCCAUCCCGCGCGUGCGAUGAAGGCCUUCCCGGGUUUGUAAAGCACUUUUGGCAGGAAAGAAACGGCAGGAUAAUACCCCGUGCAACUGACGGUACCUGCAGAAUAAGCACCGGCUAACUACGUGCCAGCAGCCGCGGUAAUACGUAGGGUGCAAGCGUGUCAGAUACUGGGCGUAAAGCGUGCGCAGGCGGUUCGGAAGAAAGAUGUGAAAUCCCAGAGCUUAACUUUGGAACUGCAUUUUUAACUACCGAGCUAGAGUGUGUCAGAGAGUGGAAUUCCGCGAUGGCAGUGAAAUGCGUAGAUAUGCGGAGGAACACCGAUGGCGAAGGGGCCUCCUGGGAUAGCGCGACGCUCAUGCAGCGUGGGGAGCAAACAGGAUUAGAUACCCUGGUAGUCCACGCCCUAAACAUGAUGUCAACUAGCUGUUGGGGCCUUCGAACCUUGGUAGCGUAAUAACGCGCGUGAAGUUGACCUGCAGAGUACAGUGCCGGAAUUAAAACUCAAAGGAAUUGACAGGGACCCGCACAAGCGGUGGAUGAUGUGGAUUAAUUCGAUGCAACGCGAAAAACCUUCUACCUUGACAUGUCUGGAAUCCCGAAGAGAUUGGGAGUGCUCGCAAGAGAACCGGAACACAGGUGCUGCAUGGCUGUCGUCAGCUCGUGUCGUGAGAUGUUGGGUUAAGUCCGCAACGAGCGCAACCCUUGUCAUUGAAUUUGCUACGAAGGGCACUCAAUGAGACUGCCGGUGACAAACCGGAGGAAGGUGGGGAUGACGUCAAGUCCUCGCGGCCCUUAUGGGUAAGGGCUUCACACGUCAUACAAUGGUCAGGACAGAGGGUCGCCAACCCGCGAGGGGAACCAAUCCCAGAAACCCGAUCGUAGUCCGGAUCGCAGUCUGCAACUCGACUGCGUGAAGUCGGAAUCGCUAGUAAUCGCGGAUCAGCAUGUCGCGGUGAAUACGUUCGGGUCUUGUACACACCGCCCGUCACCAUGGGAGUGGGUUUUACCAGAAGUAGUUAGCCUAACCGUAAGGAGGGCGAUUACCACGGUAGGAUUCAUGGCUGGGGUGAAGUCGUAACAAGGUAA
rnacentral:rRNA from 1 species